rnacentral:misc_RNA from 1 species
ACGAGUUUAGGGGCCUCGCCCCGAACCUCCAACCCAUGCGAACCUUACCACCGUUGCUUUGGCGGGCCCGCGGGUCCAACUGCCGCCGGCCCUACCGCCGGCGAGCGCCCGCCAGAGUCCAUCCAAAAUUCGUUUGAUCGGGUGACGUCUGAGAAAAUAUUUAAUGGCAAA